GACGGCACGUGACCGAGUAACAGCAGUAUAUUGUCAACGGUAUCACAGAGUUGGGUUUCGAACUUCUGCAUUCGUCUGAAAAACAAUAAACGGACUGCCUGACGUACGAAAAGACACAGACAAACCGAUGGACGGACAUCAAUGGUGAAUCCUGUGUACUCUGCGGGUCUUUAUUAGGAUGCACCGGUUAAAAUUCCCUUUUAAGAUAUUAAUUUUAAAUUACUUAAACGUCGAAUAGGACUAAAUGGGUAAAUCAGGGCCGGUAAAAAAUAGCGGGAAAUUCAACUGCAACAUUUUUUCCAAAUGUUGGUUUGGUAUCAAACACGUUUGUAUUUCCCAUACACUUGUUGUAUUUUUUGCGCCUGCGCGGUGGUGAUUUCUGGUAGAUCCGGAGUCUCGAACUAUCGGCAGCAGUACACGCAGACGACGAGACUACAAAAUAUCAAGUCAAAACGCCGUCUUGGGGAUUACGCCCGACUUACCGUCGACUCGCCCAGCGUUACCUCUUGGCAAGCGGAACGGAUGUGGAUGCGGCGGGUGGAUUAGAGGUUGCAGUCGUCUCGCCGAAUAUCAAUUAGGGAAUCUAUUCACUACACCGAGAGUCGAGAGAUCUCUUGAGAAAGUGUGCGUGUACAUACACAUUGGCGGCAUAUUUUUGGUAUCAUGUAUUUCGUUGUCUG